rnacentral:rRNA from 1 species
AUACGGAGGAUCCGAGCGUUAUCCGGAUUUAUUGGGUUUAAAGGGUGCGCAGGCGGGAGAUUAAGUCGGCGGUGAAAUUUUGCAGCUCAACUGUAAAAGUGCCUUCGAAACUGGUUUCCUUGAGUGUAGAUGAAGUAGGCGGAAUUUGUGGUGUAGCGGUGAAGUGCAUAGAUAUCACGAGGAACUCCGAUUGCGCAGGCAGCUUACUAAACUACUACUGACGCUCAGGCACGAAGGCGUGGGGAUCAAACAGGAUUAGAUACCCUGGUAGUCCACGCAGUAAACGAUGAUUACUAGCUGUUUGCGAUACAAUGUAAGCGGCUGAGCGAAAGCGUUAAGUAAUCCACCUGGGGAGUACGUUCGCAAGAAUGAAACUUAAAGGAAUUGACGGGG